rnacentral:miRNA from 1 species
UAAGAAGAAGAAGAAGAAAA